CCAAUAGCGUAUAUUAAAGUUGCUGCAGUUAAAAAGCUCGUAGUUGAAUUUCGGGACCAAUAUGUCGGUCGUGCCUCGGUACGUACUAGCAUCGUUGGUUUCUCCCUCCCUUCUGACGAACCAUGAUGUCAUUUAUUUGGUGUCAUGGGGAAUCAGGACUGUUACUUUGAAAAAAUUAGAGUGUUUAAAGCAGGCUCACGCUUGAAUACAUUAGCAUGGAAUAAUGAAAUAGGACGUUUGAUUCUAUUUUGUUGGUUUCUAGGAUCGACGUAAGGAUUAAUAGGGAUAGUUGGGGGCAUUAGUAUUCAAUUGUCAGAGGUGAAAUUCUUGGAUUUAUUGAAGACUAACUACUGCGAAAGCAUUUGCCAAGGAUGUUUUCAUUAAUCAAGAACGAAAGUUAGGGGAUCGAAGACGAUCAGAUACCGUCGUAGUCUUAACCAUAAACUAUGCCGACUAGGGAUCGGAUGAUGUUAAUUUUUUAAUGACUCAUUCGGCGCCUUACG
rnacentral:rRNA from 1 species